CCCUCAUUUUCCCCUCUUCGACUCCGCGCGCUGCUCCCUGCGACCCUCCCCCGGAUCCCCUCCAUUGUUGCCGCCGCUCCCCUUCACCGAGCUCGACGAUGGUCGGCAGCCCCUCCUCAACCCUCCCGCCCCCGCCCACGUCUUCACCUCCGGGCGCCAGCAUCACCGCCGUGGCAACCUGCACGACACAGCCCGUGCCUACUGGGAGUUCAUGGUUCCGUUCCCUUCUCUCUCAGUCCCUCUACUCUCUUCGUCUUUGUACUUCCUUUCCUGGCGGCGACGAUUGGAUGAGCGUCGGCGCUAUUUGGUCUUCGCCAAGCCCUUUGCCGGCGAUGAUCACCCACCAGGUAUGAGGAGAUUUGACAAUGAUUAGGGAACUUUUCGUACUAAUGGUAGUGCUUAAAAGUUGUUAGAAGCGACGGCGACAAAACGACGAAGAACAACGAAAUCAAAGCACAGAAGAUACGAGGAUUAAAUAUGGAAAACCCCUCCAAUGCAAAGGGUAAAACCACGGGCGCCAACCAGCAAGAACUUCACUAUAUCGGGUGUGUGUACAACGCCUAGCGGCGGCUUACAAGAGGAAUAAUGAACUGUGGAGCAAACCCUAAUCAAGGGUAUAUGUACCGCUCCAGCCCAAGCCUCCCGGCGACGGGCCUCCGCUCCGCUCCGUCGGAAGUUGGCCUUUUUCUUGUACAAUGAAUUUGCAUGAUGAUACGGUUAACAUUUAUGCAAUCAUCCAUCCUAAAUAGUGAGACAUACAGUCGUUCUACAGUUUAUACUAUAGUUUGCACUGCUCUUUUUAGUUCUUUCCUUGAAAAACCCAAGAUGUAUCAGCAGGAUAUUUGAUCAGUGCUGCUACAAUACAGUCAUACAGACCAUUAGGGCAUUAGUUGAUAUGCCCCUAAUGACCCACAAAA